rnacentral:rRNA from 1 species
UACGGAGGAUCCGAGCGUUAUCCGGAUUUAUUGGGUUUAAAGGGAGCGUAGGUGGAUUGUUAAGUCAGUUGUGAAAGUUUGCGGCUCAACCGUAAAAUUGCAGUUGAAACUGGCAGUCUUGAGUACAGUAGAGGUGGGCGGAAUUCGUGGUGUAGCGGUGAAAUGCUUAGAUAUCGGGAGGAACACCAGUGGCGAAGGCGGCCUACUGGGCACUAACUGACGCUGAGGCUCGAAAGCAUGGGUAGCAAACAGG